rnacentral:tRNA from 1 species
GCCUGGGUGGCUCAGUCGGUUGAGCGUCUGACUUCAGCUCCGGUCAUGAUCUCGCAGUCCGUGAGUUCGAGCCCCGCAUCAGGCU